UACGUAGGGCGCAAGCGUUGUCCGGAAUUAUUGGGCGUAAAGAGCUCGUAGGCGGCUUGUCACGUCGGGUGUGAAAGCCCGGGGCUUAACCCCGGGUCUGCAUUCGAUACGGGCUAGCUAGAGUGUGGUAGGGGAGAUCGGAAUUCCUGGUGUAGCGGUGAAAUGCGCAGAUAUCAGGAGGAACACCGGUGGCGAAGGCGGAUCUCUGGGCCAUUACUGACGCUGAGGUGCGAAAGCCAGGGGAUCAAACGGG
rnacentral:rRNA from 1 species